GCGCACGCUGGCGGCAGGCCUAACACAUGCAAGUCGAACGGAUCCUUCGGGAUUAGUGGCGGACGGGUGAGUAACACGUGGGAACGUGCCCUUUGGUUCGGAACAACUCAGGGAAACUUGAGCUAAUACCGGAUGUGCCCUUCGGGGGAAAGAUUUAUCGCCAUUGGAGCGGCCCGCGUCUGAUUAGCUAGUUGGUGAGGUAACGGCCCACCAAGGCGACGAUCAGUAGCUGGUCUGAGAGGAUGAUCAGCCACACUGGGACUGAGACACGGCCCAGACUCCUACGGGAGGCAGCAGUGGGGAAUCUUGCGCAAUGGGCGAAAGACUGACGCAGCCAUGCCGCGUGAAUGAUGAAGGUCUUAGGAUUGUAAAAUUCUUUCAGCGGGGACGAUAAUGACGGUACCCGCAGAAGAAGCUCCGGCUAACUUCGUG
rnacentral:rRNA from 1 species